GGCGGCUGCGACUGCUGUUCCGUCGACGCCUGCGUCCGUGUCGGCAGGGAGGGAGCGCCCCUGCCGCGGUAUUCCUUCGACAGGAGUAGGAUACCGAUCAUGAGGACAACGACUGGAGGACAUUGAAGAAAUAAGUUGAACUGAGACGGAGCCAACGCAAAAGAUGAGAACGACCAAAAUUCUUCUACUCCUCACAUUGUUCCACAGGGCAUCGUCGCAGUCCUUCCCAGUGGAUGGAGAUAACUGCAACUUAUUUACUGACGGCUUACCUAUCUAUUGGAUGGACAGCCAAGGACAAUGCUGCAUAUGCAAGAUCAUGCGGACGAAAUGCUUCAGAGUAACCUGUCUACCGGCCCCCCUGAACGCCCCCCAGUGCUUCCGAUUCGAGGCUUGUGGUUGUCCUUGGUAUCUUUGUGGCUCUUCGAUAGCCGGGAUUCUAGGCUUUAUCGCACCUUUUUUGGGAAAAUAGAAGUCGCCAGUGUCGACAAAGAAAUAUGCACCAGCCUAGUAGAGCGCUUUACUAACGAACACUGCUCGCCAGGGUAAUGUUCAAGUGCGACAUAUUUUAUCCAAGUCACAAUCAAUAUAAUCAGGUCUAACUUUUAUGUGAGUGCAAUGGACGUUUAAGAACUAAUUGUUAAAACUGUGAGAUGCAAAAAAAUAAUCUUGUUAUUUUGAGAACUUACAAACAUUUUCCAAAAGUUUUCGAAGUUGGUUCGCCUGUUGCCGUAAUGAUCAGUUUAGUAAACGCAACGUAUCAGUACA